rnacentral:rRNA from 1 species
AGCCAGACUCCUACGGGAGGCAGCAGUGGGGAAUAUUGCACAAUGGGCGAAAGCCUGAUGCAGCGACGCCGCGUGAAGGAUGAAGUAUUUCGGUAUGUAAACUUCUAUCAGCAGGGAAGAAAAUGACGGUACCUGAGUAAGAAGCCCCGGCUAACUACGUGCCAGCAGCCGCGGUAAUACGUAGGGGGCAAGCGUUAUCCGGAUUCACUGGGUGUAAAGGGAGCGUAGACGGCGACGCAAGUCUGGAGUGAAAGCCCGGGGCCCAACCCCGGGACUGCUCUGGAAACUGCGGCGCUGGAGUACGGGAGGGGCAGGCGGAAUUCCUGGUGUAGCGGUGAAAUGCGUAGAUAUCCGGAGGAACACCGGCGGCGAAGGCGGCCUGCUGGACCGUGACUGACGUUGAGGCUCGAGAGCGUGGGGAGCAAACAGGAUUAGAUACCCGAGUACAA